CCUACGGGAGGCAGCAGUGGGGAAUAUUGCGCAAUGGGCGAAACCCUGACGCAGCAACGCCGCGUGAUUGAAGAAGGCCUUCGGAUUGUAAAGAUCUUUAAUCAGGGACGAAUUUUGACGGUACCCGAAACAUAAGCUCCGACUAACUACGUGCCAGCAGCCGCGGUAAUCCGUAGGGAGCAAGCGUUAUCCGGAUUUACUGGGUGUAAAGGGCGUGUAGGCGGGCAUGCAAGCCAGAAGUGAAAUCUGCGGGCAUAACCCGCAAACUGCCUUUGGAACUGAGUGGCUUGAGUGUUGGAGAGGCAGGUGGAAUGCCCAGUGUAGGGGUGAAAUGCGUAGAUAUUGGGAGGAACACCAGUGGCGAAGGCGGCCUGCUGGACAUUAACUGACGCUGAGGAGCGAAAGCGUGGGGAGCAAACAGGAUUAGAUACCCCUGUAGUC
rnacentral:rRNA from 1 species